UAGUAUUAUUAAUUUGCAGGGGUUUUUCCAUUGAACAGCUGCAAAUCAAUUAUCUUACAUUUACCCUAGCCCGGUAUAGUAUCCCCUCUAUUCCUUAGCCGCUCUACUCGUUCAUUAUGUUAGUUCUCCCUCUUCCACCUUCAUCUUCUCUCACUUACCUCACCAGCUGAUUGCUCACCAAUCUCACCGGAAAUUCUACUUUGUCACUCACUCUUAUCGACACUUCUGGUUUCUCACUCACUCACCCGAGUACCCACUCAUCACCUACUCACCUUUGUCGGCGUUCACUCGCCGACUAUCACUCUAACGGCUUGAUGAAUACCCACAGAUCUAACGGCUAACCUACGUCCUCACCACCACCUUCACUCUCCGACUAUCACUCUCAAAGCUAAGGAUAAAAGAUAUAAAUUUUGGAAGUGAUACUGUCAAACGAUGAUCACAUAGUAGUUUACUUUAGUACCAGGUGGAAUCCUUCACCCAAGGGCAAUUGAACAUCUAUAAAAGGUAGCUCAAAGGUGUCGCUGCUGUUGCCUGUGUUGUUGUAGUUGCUGCUGCUCGUGUUGUUGCUGCUGCUACUGCUACUCGUGUUGUUGUUGCUGCUCGUGCUGUUGCUGCCUAUUUGACGCCCUAGCUGUUGCUGUCCAAUUGACACCAUUGCUGUUGUUGCCUUCUUUACUUCUUUUGUUAUUAGAUCUAAGAGUUCGUAAUAUUGUCUGUUGUGGCUAGCUCCUGCUGUAUUAUGUUAAGAAACUGUAAUUUCUAAUGCUGUCCAAUUGUAAUUUUUAUUUUUAUGAUGAAAGUGUACUUUUAUAGGCUAUUAUUAAUGAAAAUAUAAUGUUUACAAUUGCAAAUAAGAUUUCAGUCUUUUUUCUUUGCUA